CAGUAGCCGCGGGAAUACGUAGGAUGCGAGCGUUAAUCGGAAUUACUGGGCGUAAGGCGUGCGCAGGCGGUUGUGUAAGACAGGUGUGAAAUCCCCGGGCUUAACCUGGGAACUGCGCUUGUGACUGCACAGCUAGAGUAUGGCAGAGGGGGGUGGAAUUCCACGUGUAGCAGUGAAAUGCGUAGAGAUGUGGAGGAACACCGAUGGCGAAGGCAGCCCCCUGGGCCAAUACUGACGCUCAUGCACGAAAGCGUGGGGAGCAAACAGGAUUAGAUACCCGCGUAGUCCCUGUCUCUUAUAC
rnacentral:rRNA from 1 species